rnacentral:lncRNA from 1 species
CGUGUGGCCUGUGUGUGUUAGAUGUGUACAACCCUAGUUUCACUGACAAAUAUUUAUUUCCUAGAUAUCAUAUGCCAAAGCAUGCUUUUUGCUAUGAAGCCGCAGCCAUCUAGUCACUCGCCAGAGAAGGAUGAGAAACUGCACCCCAGCGAGAGGGACAGCCCCACAUCUGCAACCAAAUCCAUCGGUCACCGAAUUCAGUAAUCUCCGUCUCUUUGUGCAUUGUGUAUGUACGGUACUCCCAAUUCUUAUAUUUAAUCCGGUGUGUCUCCCACAAUCUUUGUGUCUGUCUGCAUGCACUGUGUCUGUUAUGCCAGUUACUCUAACUAGUUUAUUUCUUUUUGUGUGUGUCACAGCUCUGACAAGCAUGUUCUUCUAUGGGACACGAAGUACAUGAAGAGGAAUGAAGAAGCCCAUGUCUGAUGCUCGUCUCCAGGGUGGAGUAUUGAAUUUAUAACUAAUGAAGUGGCAUCUGACACAUGACGAGCUGCUCCUGUUUGCACAGCAACUUCAACAUUGUGUACUGUGAUCACAGCAUAGUUCAGAGGUAGGUAACCUUGGGCAGUCCAGAUGCUGUGAAUAACAUCGACCAUAAUGCUGGCAAACCAUUAUGGGAGGUGUAGUCCAAAACAUCUGGAAUACCGAAUGCGUAUGAAUGCAAAGUAUGGUGUGUGUGAAUGGUCAGUAACAAGGGUUGAAGCCUUGAAGUGGCGUUACUGCUCACAUGUGUAUUCAUGUGCCAAUUCAACCAAUGUGAGUCACUGUAAUACUUAUAAGGUAACCAAAAGUACUGUGAUUGUGGAGAAUGAAACUCCUUAUCCUAUGAAAUCUCCUAUACACUGCUGACACUGUGACCGUAUCCCCUAAACACUGCUCAUACUGUGACCGUAUCUCCUAAACACUGCUCACACUGUGACCCUAUCGCCUAUACACUGCUUACACUCUGACCCUAUCGCCUAAACACUGCUUACACUGUAAGCACAGACAUGCUUUUAAUCAAAAUUGAAAGCGCUAGAUCAUUCCUUCUGUUCUACGCCUCCAAUCUUCAACAUUGAAAUUGUCAUUUCUAAUAAUAUAAAAUAAGUAAUAUGCUUUCUGGUUACGAUUUGGUGGGUUGUAAAUAUUUUUUUUAUUCUUACAGUUCCAGAGGGAAGGAGCAAACCGCUUUGAGGAGUCCCUGCAUAAGAGACUAUUGGAUACUGAAGGGCUGUACUGCAGUGUCGGCUCUAGACUUGGCGAGGCCUUAGGCGAAACUCAUACAUGAGACCCCACGGAGAACACCAUUAUUGAAGAAAAAAUAGCAGUUGACUUUGUGUAUAAGAAGCUGUAGAUAUAUUGAUGGUGGAGCUCAGUGGUGUAUCCUGGUUUUGUGCUGACCUAGGCAGGACAAAACUCAGGCGCCCCCCUCCCCCGCCCCGCAUUCUAAAUACACACACACACACACACACACACACACAGAUAUGCAUACAUUAGCUAACAGAAACUGACACACUCACUAACAGACACAGUCAGACACACACACACACUAACAGACACACUCACACUCUCUAACAGACACACUCAAAUUUUUUUUUUAAUUUACACCCCCAGCCUCCUUACCUUUGCUAAUGCUGGGGGGGUUCUCUAUCUCCCUGGGGUCUAGUGGGGCUGCCAGUCGGGCUGCUGGGGCGGCAGACGGGCAGCUGGCGAGGGAGCACUUCCUCUGAGUUGUCUGCUUAGCUCCCUCACGCGCUGCAUUGUGAGGCUGGGAGCCGGAAUAUGAC